UCCAGUGUCCAGUUUUGAUUGAGCGGCCACUCGGGAAGGAGUGUUCCGUUCGAUCUACAUAUUUUGAAAAAGUGCUUGACAAUCGGUAGCUACUGAAAGACCUAUAUCAUUGGAGCUUUCGUGAAUUCCGUAACUCGGAGAUUUUUCCAUCAGCACUGGUUUUCCGUCUUGGAUUCGACGGCAGUUCAGCUUCGGUGACAGGAGCGGCGACAUCAGGAGCGACAUCAGUAGCAAAGCAGGUUCCUCAGAGCGACGAUGGAGAGAGAGAACGAUGACCAUUGCGUGACGAAACCAAAUCAGGACAUCAACGAGUCUCUCCCAAGAUCGACUCCUCUUCAUCCCAUUCCGCUA
rnacentral:misc_RNA from 1 species